AACGAACGCUGGCGGCAGGCUUAACACAUGCAAGUCGAACGCUCCGCAAGGAGAGUGGCAGACGGGUGAGUAACACGUGGGAACGUACCCUUUACUACGGAACAACUCCGGGAAACUAGAGCUAAUACCGUAUGUGCCCUUUGGGGGAAAGAUUUAUCGGUAAAGGAUCGGCCCGCGUUGGAUUAGCUAGUUGGUGGGGUAAAGGCCUACCAAGGCGACGAUCCAUAGCUGGUCUGAGAGGAUGAUCAGCCACAUUGGGACUGAGACACGGCCCAAACUCCUACGGGAGGCGGCAGUGGGGAAUAUUGGACAAUGGGCGCAAGCCUGAUCCAGCCAUGCCGCGUGUGUGAUGAAGGCCUUAGGGUUGUAAAGCACUUUCACCGGAGAAGAUAAUGACGGUAUCCGGAGAAGAAGCCCCGGCUAACUUCGUGCCAGCCGCCGCGGUAA
rnacentral:rRNA from 1 species